CUCUCUCCUGUUACAGGCAGAAGAAGAAACAGAAGCAUCAGUUAAAAAUUGGUAACGGUGUUGAGUUAAAAACGGACACAUUUGGAACAUAACAGGUGAUGUAGAUCAAGGGGUACAGAGUUCAUCUGACAGGCCUGCUGGGAGAAGCUGGACCAGAAAAAGACCGGGGACCACUGCUGUAGGCUGUAGGAUACUGUUUCCUUGUAAACAUCACCUGCUGCCGGUUCCCUCUUCGGCAACGCACUGAGUUCUUUGAGCCUCCCCAGCCUCUCUGUUGCCCUGUGACUCAACUCCUGCUCCCGUAUUAUCUCCAUUAUCUGCAUUACAACCUUCCCCAACCUCUGCCUGAGCUCCUCCAACAGUGCAGGAGACAAGGCCUACUGUCCACGAUGCACCUGAAACAUGGAGCCCCAUCUAGUGAAAGAGAAGAGAGUGGGGGACGAGGAGUUGAUCAGUCCUGCCAGCAGGGUCUCACUGGAGGAUAAAUCCAGUGACAUAGGAGGCAUGGACUGUAAGGACUCCAACUGGAGCAUAGAGGACUCAUGGUGGUUCUGAGGUAGGAUGUCUCCCAGUAACCGCUUCAGCUCACAGAGGAAAGAGAAGGUCUGUGAAGGGGCCAGGGAUGAUCCUGACACAUGUCUAUAUCUGACAAAGAGUAAAAAACCAACGUUGAGCAGCACUCUGACAAUAAUCUGGGAAAAUUUUUAGCCGGGAACAUUAAAGCUUAAAAAAACCUUUUAUUAGUUUCUGUUCCCCCAAAGAAAAGCAGAAGUGGAGUUAUGCUGAUGUUACUUCCUGAUUUUCCACCAAUGAGGAUGUCUUUUAGGCUCGGUUCUACAAUGAGAGGAAAUUUGAGGAGAGUGCACAUGAUACAAGAAAACGAAAACAAGAAAAGAUGGGAUCUUACUCAUAUCUGGGGAUACUGUCUCAACAGAAAGCUUCCAUUUCUGGUGAACAUUGGCCUCUGAUGUCUUUCCUGUCAGUAGCCUUCCUCUACCUGUGUGUUAGGCUGCAGAGACCGACUAAUGAAAGUGACGUCCAGGUGUCCUCCUUUGAGUGGACUUUCAAUCGCCAAGAGCAGCACGGGGCUGAGCCCAGGACACGGCGGUGGAUCAAAGGACAGUGACUGCAGGAUCUCCAGAGAUGAGGAAGGCCUGCUUGUCCUUCUCCUUCUCUUCCUCCUCCUCAACAAGAUGAUUCAAGUGAUGGAAGUGGAAUGGAUAUCCUAGAACAUAAUCUAUUUAAUUCAGAAGUUUAUACACAGUUGUUUUGUAAUUUCUUUUGUCAAGUAUUUGGCAGAUAAUUCGGGAGAUGUUCAUUGUUUUUAAACAAAGUCAUCAUUAGUUUUAAAUCAACAUUGUUCUUACCCUAUCAUUCAUUGUCUCCCUGCGUUGCAUGAAUGAUCAGUGUCAAAUUGUAACUUUUACCAUUACAUAUGCAAGAUAAAGUAACUUCACAACUAAGCGUCAA